CUCUCCAGUAACUCCUUCUCGAUGGCGCUGUCCAGCUGAGCGGCUAUGAGUGCCUUUUCCUGGGUGGAGAAGAGCAAGCCCAUUGACGUCACUAGUAGUUACUGUCGUCAGUAGUUACCCUCCGUACGUAAAGAGGUAUUAGCGUGUGUGCACAGAACAGCCAGACUGCUGGAGCAAACGUGAUGUCAACAGGCAACAUGGAAAUGCUGAACUUUGGCCCUCAGGAAUCCCAGAUACAGGUGGUGGGUCUGUAUUUAAGGUAUUCUUUCUGUUCCUCGUAACGUACAGCCCCAUGGUUUAGCCUGCUCUGCAAGACGUAAUGCUAAGGUAUGAAAAACCUGAUGGCCACUGUCCUGCUAACUGUCUGCAUCGUUAGCAGGGCCCGGAUCUCAGGAGCCAGCCAUGUAGGUGGCCAGUGAAAGUGCAGACCCUGUGACACUCAAACAAAUUUACCUCUCUUCUCUUCUCCCUGCGCUCCACCUUCUUGCUCAAAGGAACAAGUUUCUUCCUAGGAGAAAUAAAACACAUUAUCAGAAAACCCAAGCUCAUGUGCUCUGUGUUCCUAUUAAAAGCAUUCUGAUACUUUUGAGGAGAAUUUACCAUACCAGGAUUAAUGCUUUGGAGGACUAAGAGAAAGGAACUUUCUGUAAGGACUGACAUCACCCUUCGCAUUCUCCAGAGGUCACAGUGACAAUGCUGCAGAGCCUCAUGCUCCCCUUUAUUCACGUUUUAGGCUGUACAGACUCCCUGGGGCGUUGUGAAGAGCACGCCUGAGGCUGAUGUGCAGCACUGCCUUGCUGAGCGCUCUGCAGAUCAGAGGGCACGCCUUUACUCUGCGCUGCGCUAGCGCUUCCUCUCAGCCGGCCCCACCAGAGCACCCGGGGCUAAACUUAACAGAAAGCGUCAGGAGAGCGUCAGUAGAGGUCGCACGCUCAGCUCCGUACAGUGCUCCCAGGGGAGAAGGUGAAAGCACGGUGCAGAC